CACGUAGGCGGCAGGGUAUGUCGGGUGUGAAAUCCCUCGGCCCAACCGAGGAAUUGCGCCCGAAACUACCUUGCUUGAGGAUGGAAGGGGAGCGUGGAAUUCCUGGUGGAGCGGUGAAAUGCGUUGAUAUCAGGAGGAACACCGGCGGCGAAGGCGACGCUCUGGUCCAUUACUGACGCUGAGGUGCGAAAGCCAGGGGGAGCAAACGG
rnacentral:rRNA from 1 species